rnacentral:rRNA from 1 species
UACAGAGGUCCCUAGCGUUGUCCGGAUUUACUGGGUGUAAAGGGCGCGUAGGCGGGCUUGCAAGUCAGAUGUGAAAUCUCCGGGCUCAACCCGGAAAUUGCAUUUGAAACUGUAGGUCUUGAGUAUCGGAGAGGCAAGCGGAAUUCCUAGUGUAGCGGUGAAAUGCGUAGAUAUUAGGAGGAACACCAGUGGCGAAGGCGGCUUGCUGGACGACAACUGACGCUGAGGCGCGAAAGCGUGGGGAGCAAAC